rnacentral:rRNA from 1 species
GACUACUGGGGUAUCUAAUCCUGUUUGAUCCCCACACUUUCGCACCUCAGCGUCAGUCAUCGGCCAGGAGCUUGCCUUCGCCAUUGGUAUUCUUCCUGAUCUCUACAGAUUUCACCCCUACACCAGGAAUUCUAGCUCCCUCUCCGUGACUCAAGCCCUGCAGUUCCCGACGCAAUCCACCGGUUAAGCCGGUGACUUUCACGCCAGGCUUACAAGGCCGCCUACAUGCCCUUUACGCCCAGUAAUUCCGAACAACGCUCGCCCCCUACGUGUUACCGCGGCUGCUGGCACGUAGUUAGCCGGGGCUUAUUCGUCGGUUCAUGUCAUCACGCGGGCAUUCCCUCCCGCGCUUAUUCUUCCCCAACAAAAGGACUUUACAACCUUUCGGCCUUCUUCAUCCACGCGGCGUCGCUCCGUCAGACUUUCGUCCAUUGCGGAAUAUUCCUCACUGCAGCCACCCGUAGG